rnacentral:rRNA from 1 species
UACGAAGGGGGCUAGCGUUGCUCGGAAUCACUGGGCGUAAAGCGCACGUAGGCGGAUCUUUAAGUCAGGGGUGAAAUCCUGGAGCUCAACUCCAGAACUGCCUUUGAUACUGGGGAUCUCGAGUCCGGGAGAGGUGAGUGGAACUGCGAGUGUAGAGGUGAAAUUCGUAGAUAUUCGCAGGAACACCAGUGGCGAAGGCGGCUCACUGGCCCGGUACUGACGCUGAGGUGCGAAAGCGUGGGGAGCAAACAGG